AUUGAACGCUGGCGGAAUGCUUUACACAUGCAAGUCGAACGGCAGCACGGGAGCUUGCUCCUGGUGGCGAGUGGCGAACGGGUGAGUAAUGCGUCGGAACGUACCGAGUAAUGGGGGAUAACGCAGCGAAAGCUGUGCUAAUACCGCAUACGCCCUGAGGGGGAAAGUGGGGGAUCGCAAGACCUCACGUUAUUCGAGCGGCCGACGUCUGAUUAGCUAGUUGGUGGGGUAAAGGCCUACCAAGGCGACGAUCAGUAGCGGGUCUGAGAGGAUGAUCCGCCACACUGGAACUGAGACACGGUCCAGACUCCUACGGGAGGCAGCAGUGGGGAAUUUUGGACAAUGGGGGCAACCCUGAUCCAGCCAUUCCGCGUGAGUGAAGAAGGCC
rnacentral:rRNA from 1 species